UUAUAAAGGAAGUUUGAAACCUCCUUUCCUUUCAUUUGGAGAAUUGGAACGGCACUUAUCAUGGCUGCCACUGACGUACUUCCGGGUCAUUUCACUCCGUUAGGAAGGUUCCUAAGCUAAAUUGACUAUUGGACUGGGCCCCAGGUCUCCAUUGAAACCAAUGGAAAUGAGCUCGCAACGUUGAUGUGUAUGGCUCCGUACAAAGUUGUACUCAUUGCAUUAGUAUAGGCUACUGUAGCUUUUUACACUGGAGGCGCCCAUCUCGGCCGAAGUCGGUUCAUAUUAACCUAAAGGUACAUCAUUAAAUGGUAAUUGGUGUGGAGAAGAUUGACCUCAGCCUUGCUUUGAACAUUGUUCCAAAGGCUCUGUAGUAAAUGAUGUCUCUCUCAGCUGGAUAUGCUAUAUGACAAACUUCUGAAGAUUUUGGAGAAGAGAGGAGGACAGAUAGGCCAGCGUCUGAACUGUAUUAUGUCAAACAUGACUCAAGUUGAUGAUGUCGAUUUAGGCCGGGAUUGUCUUCUCAAGGGGCUGUGUGUGCACCUCAAUUAGGACCCAGAAGAUCUGCUGAGAGAGUUUGUGGCAGAAGAUGAAGACGUCAUUCUGCGGUCCAUUGAGGGGAUAGUGGGACUUUAUGUUGUCAAACACAAUUCCACCAUGAGACCAGAGGACAGAUGAGACCAGAGGACAGAUUGUCCUGGAAGGCCAACAGGUAAUAACUGAUGUGGACAACAUCGCAUUAGCUGCUACCAUGUUAUUUGGACUAAUGUCUGCAAUGAACCUGAACUACCCCCCUAAACUGAAGUGCACGUUCGAAGUGCUCCAGCAAAUGUUAAUGGAGCUAGAUGGCAACAUGCUCUCCAAGAAAGCCCAAGCUUUUAAAAACAAACUAUUUGAGUGAGCUGUUGCCAUGGACCAUUGUGCACUUUUACAGCAUUUAUACUGGACUUUCAUCGAUACAACUGUCUUGCACUUCCUUUGUUCAUGCUUUUUGAUGUAUUGAUUUGCAUGUUUCAGAAAUGUGUGUUUUUCCUGGGGUCAUGUGUUUUCAGAAUGUACCAUUUGUCAUGUGUUUCAGAAUGUACUAACUUCAAAAUGUCAGUGCUUGUUUUUAUUUGUAAUACUUCCAUGUACUUUUCAAAAGCAAUGCCAUUGCUUUUUUGUAUUAAAGUGCCCUUUCAUAUUAGCAGGUUACUAUUUAAAUAAUGGAUUUGCAAGAACAUUUCCUUUUUUCGGCUAGGCGUUGACAUUUUCUGUUAAUUGUUUACUAUGAAUGAGUUACAAAAAUAAGCCUUUCUUUGCCAUUUGGCCCAAUAAACCUUUAUUUUGGUCGGGAGAAUAGUUUCCUUUAAGCUUCCUUGCUGUGUUCUAACACAAUAAUGUAUAUGUACAUGCAUUACAAACAUUUUCUAUUUAUUCUAUUUCUUUAUUUUGAAUGUAUUUGUUAAUUCUCCUGGGGCUGCAUGAUGGAAAAACCAAAAGCUCAUCUGGAUGGGUGGUGGUUGUUAAUAUUGUUUUAU